CAGUGCUGGUGGUUCUGCUUUGGAGAAUAGAGAAAAGGAAACUCCCUUGGGAGUGCUGUUUCUUGGAAAACCGUUCCUCACCUGAGCCCUGUGUUCAGAUGGAGGCCUGACUGUGUACCCAGUGUGCUGUGACCCCAACUGGAGUGUCCACGCAAACAGCCAUCCCCUGGUGAUCGGAGUAGGAAGGGUUAUCUAGAAUUGCUUUAGGGUCAAGCAAAAAUGAUCGGAGAUCUUCACCUCUACAUAUGACCCACUGUCAAGCUCUGUGGGUUCAUGCUCUCUGCUUUCUCUCAGUCAAUUUGACAACUCAGCGAAUGUCUCACAAUCAGCGGCUUCUCACAGACACUGCCACCAUCCAGAACAAGGAUGCUGCCUUCUGCCUGCGCGUUAGCCUCCCAGUACCACCCGGCCCCUAUGGCUGUUUCCCCAGGGCAGGACCAAGGCUGAGCUGACAAGGGUGCCCCACCGCCCCAUCCUGGCUCGGAGCCCGCCCUCUCCUCCCACCACGACUUCCUAUAAUACUGGAAAUA